rnacentral:rRNA from 1 species
GACGAACGCUGGCGGCGUGCUUAACACAUGCAAGUCGAACGGAAAGGCCCUGCUUUUGUGGGGUGCUCGAGUGGCGAACGGGUGAGUAACACGUGAGUAACCUGCCCUUGACUUUGGGAUAACUUCAGGAAACUGGGGCUAAUACCGGAUAGGAGCUCCUGCUGCAUGGUGGGGGUUGGAAAGUUUCGGCGGUUGGGGAUGGACUCGCGGCUUAUCAGCUGGUUGGUGGGGUAGUGGCUUACCAAGGCUUUGACGGGUAGCCGGCCUGAGAGGGUGACCGGCCACAUUGGGACUGAGAUACGGCCCAGACUCCUACGGGAGGCAGCAGUGGGGAAUAUUGCACAAUGGGCGGAAGCCUGAUGCAGCAACGCCGCGUGCGGGAUGACGGCCUUCGGGUUGUAAACCGCUUUCGCCUGUGACGAAGCGUGAGUGACGGUAAUGGGUAAAGAAGCACCGGCUAACUACGUG